rnacentral:snRNA from 1 species
GGAUGUGAGGGCGAUCUGGCUGCGACAACUGCCACCCCAUUGAUCGCCAGGGUUGAUUCGGCUCAUCUGGCUGAGUAGGCGGCUGUCCCCUUCCUCCCUCAACGCUCCAUGUGUGUCCCUCCGGAAGCUGCGCGCUCGGUCAAAGAGGAUGACCACCCCCGAUAGAGAAGGACCGUUCCUCGGUCAAGGGUAUAGCUGCGCUCUCCUGCUAGAACCUGCAAACGAACUUUCAAUAAUAGCAUGGUUUUAUGAAAAAAGUUAAAUAUUGAUCAUUAGGAAUCUGGAUAGUGCGUAUAUUUAGAUUUGC